rfam:TPA: Bos taurus chromosome 25, whole genome shotgun sequence.
UCCCUGGUGGCUCAGAGGUUAAAGUGUCUGCCUCCAAGGCGGGAGACCCAGGUUCGAUCCCUAGGUUGGGAA